GACGCAGAACCGAGAGUCCGAGUCUCCCUACGGCCAGCGCUUGACUUUGUCGCUGUCCAGCCCCCAGCUCCUGUCUUCAGGCUCCUCGGCCUCUUCUGUGUCUUCACUUUCUGGGAGUGACGUUGAUUCAGACACACCACCCUGCACAACGCCCAGUGUUUACCAGUUCAGUCUGCAAGCACCAGCUCCUCUCAUGGCCGGCUUACCCACCGCCUUGCCAAUGCCCAGUGGCAAACCUCAGCCCACCACUUCCAGAACACUGAUCAUGACAACCAACAAUCAGGUACGUGGCCCUCUGGCACCCUUCCCGCUGGUGGCCCCUGGGAACAGCAUCCGAGCUGUGAUACGCACUAGAGAAGACAGAUGGUCCUUUGAAUUAGAAGAGUAACUUUUUGAGUCUUUGGCCAUUGCUGUGUUGUUCUGUGAAAUCCUCUGUUUUGUGGUGUUGAGGUCCCCCAUGUAUAGUUUCAGCAGCGAGGAGACUGGUUCUUGAGUGCUGCUGUGGCUUUUCGCGGGGGCCAGGUCGACUGCCCUCCUGCAAGUUUCCUCACUGCCCCAGCAUGAGAUUGCU
rnacentral:sRNA from 1 species